AGAGGGGAAACCCCAUAUUGUUGCACUGGAGCUACAACAUGUUGUUCUGAGAGCAACUUCACCAUGACGGCCACUAGUUUCAGGAAUGACUCAUGUAAGCAGACGUUCACAGAUUAUGCUUUGACAACACUCCAGGACGAUUCUUCCACCAUAUUGCCAGUUCAAAGCAGAAACCUUGUUAUCUGUUGGAAAGCUGAUGAGUCAGAUGAGAAGUGAGCAGAGACUUACGUGAGCUG